rnacentral:rRNA from 1 species
UACGUAGGGGGCAAGCGUUGUCCGGAUUUAUUGGGCGUAAAGAGCGUGUAGGCGGUUUGGUAGGUCCGCUGUGAAAACUCGAGGCUCAACCUCGAGACGCCGGUGGAAACCAUCAGACUAGAGUCCGGAAGAGGCGAGUGGAAUUCCUGGUGUAGCGGUGGAAUGCGCAGAUAUCAGGAGGAACACCGAUGGCGAAGGCAGCUCGCUGGGACGGUACUGACGCUGAGGCGCGAAAGCGUGGGGAGCGAACAGG